CAAGUUUGCCAUACAUUUGUUGUUCUUUUUCCUUAGCAGCAGUGCUGCAUUUUUUCCUUUUCCCUUCUUUUUGGUGCCUCAGCCUUUCUGUUCCUACAUUAACGCUUAAACGUUAAUCACGUUUCUAUCAACCCCAUUUAUAUCUUUUCUAUUUCUUUUUCAUCAACGUAUUAUAAAACCUAGCCGUCUCUCGAACUCAGAAACGCUUUAAGAUCAACACAUCCUUCUCUUUGUUCAUCAAGCACGCUAGCAUUGGUUUGUCACUUCGGUUCAACAAUACACAUCAUCUUCUAUUAUCAUACGCGUUGGAAACGAAUUUGACCCGUCUAUUGUUCGUGCUCCAGAGGCAAAUCAGGAUUAGUUGCUUGCCGGUAUUCACGUGGAUUAGCAAGCAGUGAGUUUGUACUUACUAUU